rnacentral:rRNA from 1 species
CCUAUGGGUGGCAGCAGUGGGGAAUUUUGGACAAUGGGCGCAAGCCUGAUCCAGCUAUUCCGCGUGUGGGAUGACGGCCCUCGGGUUGUAAACCACUUUAGUAGAGAACGAAAAGGAGCUAUCGAAUAAAUAUCUCUGCUGACGGUACUCUAAGAAUAAGCACCGGCUAACUACGUGCCAGCAGCCGCGGUAAUACGUAGGGUGCGAGCGUUGAUCGGAUUUAUUGGGCGUAAAGGGUGUGCAGGCGGCUGAGUAAAUCAGAUGUGAAAUCCCCGGGCUUAACCUGAGAACCGCAUAUGUGACUGGCUGGCUAGAGUGCGGUAGAGGGAGGUGGAAUUCGACGUGUAGCAGUGAAAUGCGUAGAUAUGAGGAAGAACACCGAUGGCGAAGGCAGCCUCCUAAGACGCAACUGACACUGAUACACGAAAGCGUGGGGAGCAAACAGGAUUAGAUACCCUGGUAGUC